rnacentral:lncRNA from 10 species
CUCAGAAGCACAACUGCAGUAAGCCAGUGCCAGUGAAGGAGAGAUGGGUGUUGCUGUGUUGCCCAGGCUUGUCUUCAACUCCUGGCCUCAAGGAAUCUGCCCUCAUUGGCCUCUCAGUGUGCUUGGUAUUAUAGGCAUGUGCCACCAUGUCCAGACUAAAACAUUUUCUAAUUACAAAAAUUGUAUGCAUCAUAAAGCUUUAAACUUGCUUUUCAAGACAAAAGAAGAAAUUUUGAAGAAACAAACCGCUACAAAAGCAAAAAUAAUGGUAGGAAACGUGUAGAUUAAGAGAUACAGUGUAUGCACCUUAUUUAGAUCUUAAUGCAAAUAAAAUGUAUUUUAAAAAUG